UGAUACCGAGCUACCUCCG
rnacentral:misc_RNA from 1 species